rnacentral:rRNA from 1 species
UGAGGAAUAUUGGUCAAUGGGCGAGAGCCUGAACCAGCCAAGUCGCGUGAAGGAAGAAGGAUCUAUGGUUCAUAAACUUCUUUUGCAGGGGAAUAAAGUGCAGGACGUGUCCUGUUUUGUAUGUACCCUGAGAAUAAGGAUCGGCUAACUCCGUGCCAGCAGCCGCGGUAAUACGGAGGAUCCGAGCGUUAUCCGGAUUUAUUGGGUUUAAAGGGUGCGUAGGUGGUUUGAUAAGUCAGCGGUGAAAGUUUGCAGCUUAACUGUAAAAAUGCCGUUGAAACUGUCGGACUUGAGUGUAAAUGAGGUAGGCGGAAUGCGUGGUGUAGCGGUGAAAUGCAUAGAUAUCACGCAGAACUCCGAUUGCGAAGGCAGCUUACUAAGCUACAACUGACACUGAAGCACGAAAGCGUGGGGAUCAAACA